rnacentral:lncRNA from 1 species
GAAGUUCUCGUGUGAGUUCCCAAAAACAGAACCGUGAGGGCGUAGUCGGGGCCCAAAACGGACAAUAUCGUGCUACGGUGGUGGAGUGUGCCCUGGAAGUGAUCCGUCCCGGGCCGGGAUGUGACAGUUCCUUGCCGAUUUAUCAAAUUUCUUAUUUAUGACCAAAACCGUUCAUAUUAUAAAUCACCCUAUAAAGACCAGUUUUGCAGAAAAUGAAUUAAAACUAAGGCCAUUUAGUCAUCAAAUAGUAUAAAAACAUAUGAACGAAAUUGGUAAAAGUAUUACGAACCGUCUAUGUAUUUGCUACAAUAGAUGGACUAAACGAUCUUGUUUUUAAUUCACUUUUUGCAGAAAUGAUCUUUACAGAGUGAUUCAUAAUUACAGAGUGAUUCAUAAUAAGAAUAGUUUUGAUUAUAAGUACAAAACUUUGUGAUUCGAAUACGAAAAGUUUUAAGUAGGAGUUCAUACUCAUUUUUGAGUAGCUAAACAUUGUUUUUGCAUAGAUGGCUUCAAGACAAAAUCAUAUUAAGGACUUCAAGAUCCUUAAAAGGAGUGGAAAAGAUGCAGAUAUAAAUUUUAUAAUUCAUAAGUGAUUAAUAAAACACAAAGUUUGUACAAAUUAAAGAUUGAAGAUUUUACUUAGUCCAUAUGCAACAUCAACAAGUUCAAUUAGUAAACAAAUAUAUAAACAAGACAAAAGCAAUUGAAUCCACAAUGGCACAUGGCCAUGCAUUUGAAGCAUUACAUUUUGAGGAAAUUGUAGCAAUUGUCUCUCAACUUUAAUUUUAUUGGAAUGGUUUAUGAACUAAAAAUUUAUUACUAUUGGUCAUUUAACUCCACAAAAUGUGCAGUUAUGGUCUUUUUCGUCAACUCCAUCAGAACUUCCAUCAAAAUGAGUAAUGUUAGAAGAAUAAUUGCUACAAUAGGGUUAAAGUUGAGGAUCUAUUGCUCCAAUUGGAUAAAAGUUGACAGACCAUUGCUCUAAUUGGAUUAAAGUUGAGAGACCAUUUAUACAAUUUUCUCAUUUAGGUUUUCAUAUUUGCCUCUUGAUUCAAUCUCACGUACAUUACACAUGACUCAUUUUGACAGAAGUUUUAACGGAGUUGACGAAAUGAUCAUAGUUGCACGUUUUGAUGAGUUGAGGGACAAAUUAUCAUGAAUUUUUAUUUGAGGGAUCAGUGCUAUAAUUUUUUCUUAGAUUUUUAUUUAUUUCUUCUUUUAAAAGGAAAUUAGCUUGCGGCUUCACCAUCAUAAUUUAAUUUUUUGAGGGCUGAAAAGACUUACAAAGACAUUUUAGUCACAUCCUAACCAUUAUUGUGUGAUUUACAGAGGCAUUUAAAGCAUUAGAUUGAACUUUCAUAAACACACUAGAUGUUGAAAUACCAUUUGGGUGGUUUUUGGAGGAGAUUUUUAUAUAGUCCUAACUAAUUCAAGUUAGUGUGGUGAAAUCAUCAUUUUAGAUACAAAUAAAGAUGUUGAAACGCAUGCAAAACAUGAGAUCUCGAGGUGAUCAUCAUUUUUCAUCAUUUUUUAUUUGUGUUGUUAAUGGCGAAGAACCAGUCAUCAUAGAUGACAUGAUAAAGCUUUGCUGAAUGAUAUGUUAUUUGGUUUUAAGGCCUCAAAUUUUUAGGGUAUCAGUGGCAAUUUGAUCCACAAGUGCUCCAUAUCAUUCCGUUUGUGUUGUUCACCUAGACGUUAAAGAGCGUGUGAGAAUGUGAGACAAAUUUCAUAUCAAUAAGGGACCAUGCAAGAACUUAUGUUGAUCUAUUCCUUAUAUUGCCAAUUAAUUUUGGAUAAAUUACAUAAUAACCCAUCAGGUUUGAGGUCUAUUAUAACCUCAUACAACAUCUUUAAAAUAUUUCACUUUCAUACCUUAU